rnacentral:misc_RNA from 1 species
GAUGAAGAACGCAGCGAAAUGCGAUAAGUAGUGUGAAUUGCAGAUUUCAGUGAAUCAUCGAAUCUUUGAACGCACAUUGCGCCCGCCAGUAUUCUGGCGGGCAUGCCUGUUCGAGCGUCAUUUCAACCAUCAAGCCUUCGCUUGUGUUGGGGCCCCGCGGCUGCCGCGGUCCCCUAAAUCCAGUGGCGGGCUCGUCGUCGUACCGAGCGCAGUAGACAUCCUCGCUCCGGGAACCCGACGGGUGCCGGCCGUGAAACCCCCCACAUCAAGGUUGACCUCGGAUCAGGUAGGAAUACCCGCUGAACUUAAGCAUAUCAAUAAGCGGAGGA